UACGUAGGGUGCGAGCGUUGUCCGGAAUUAUUGGGCGUAAAGAGCUCGUAGGCGGUUUGUCGCGUCUGCUGUGAAAACCCGAGGCUCAACCUCGGGCCUGCAGUGGGUACGGGCAGACUAGAGUGCGGUAGGGGAGAUUGGAAUUCCUGGUGUAGCGGUGGAAUGCGCAGAUAUCAGGAGGAACACCGAUGGCGAAGGCAGAUCUCUGGGCCGUAACUGACGCUGAGGAGCGAAAGCCAGGGGAGCAAACGGG
rnacentral:rRNA from 1 species